AUACGGAGGAUGCAAGCGUUAUCCGGAUUUAUUGGGUUUAAAGGGUGCGUAGGCGGUUUGCUAAGCGGGAGGUGAAAUGCCGGCGCUCAACGUCGGAAGUGCCUCCCGAACUGGUGGACUUGAAUGACUCUGCCGUGGGAGGAAUGUGUAGUGUAGCGGUGAAAUGCUUAGAGAUUACACAGAACACCGAUUGCGAAGGCAUCUCACGAAGGGUUGAUUGACGCUGAGGCACGAAAGCGUGGGGAUCGAACAGGAUUAGAUACCCUGGUAGUCCACGCAGUAAACGAUGAUGGCUAACCGCUGGGCUUAUCAGUUCAGUGGCCAAGCGAAAGCGAUAAGCCAUCCACCUGGGGAGUACGACCGCAAGGUUGAAACUCAAAUGAAUUGGCGGGG
rnacentral:rRNA from 1 species